GGACCCGUAGCUCAGCCUGGAUAGAGCGGGUGGCUUCGGACCACCAGGCCGUGGGUUCGAAUCCCAUCGGGCCCU
rfam:Candidatus Nitrosopelagicus brevis strain CN25, complete genome.